GGUAAGGAGGAAAAGAAAUAAAACUACCAAUAAGAAAGCAAAGUGUUUUACAUUUGAAGUUUGAAAUUAAAAUUAAAACUAAAAAUGGCAAACAAAUAUGUUGCUUUGUUGUUGGUGGUGUGCCUGGUAGCUGUUCAGGCAGAGCCUACCCUUCAAUCGGGAGAGACCGUAAUGACCCCGGAAGAGUGCUUUGAAUAUUGCGUUACCGCAAGUUUAUAUCCACGCUUCGCUUCUGAGCCAGUAUGCCGUUUCCGUUGCCAAUUCACCAUGUACAAUUGUAAGUUUCCCUCAUCAUUUUUUCUAUGUCUAUUUCUAAUCAAUUUUGUUAUAAUUAAACACUACAUCACGUUUUUUAAUAUAAUUUAAAUGUUUUAUUAUGCUAGCUGUUACAAACGACGUUGAGCACAGCGCAAGGAGGCAUGGUCCAGUUGCAGCUCCGGCAGUGUCACCGGUCCCAGCACCCAAAACUCAUUAGUUCACAAAAUGUUAAAAUGGGAUCCAAAAUUGAGAGCAUGAUUGGUAGAAUCAAUUUCAACCAAAACACAAUGCUUUUUCUCAUCAAUUCAUGUCCUCUUCCCCUUACCUCUUGCUUAUCAUUUGUCACCACAAUAAAUUAAAUUAUUAUUCUUUUUAUUAUCAUUCUCUUCUUAUUCCCCUUUUCCUUUUUCAUUGUCUAGUUUAUUUAUUUUUAUCGGAAUCAUUGUUAACUCAUUAAAGAUUAGUAGAAUAUCAACAACAAUACAAUUUAAAGUAUUUAAUGCAAAUAAAUUCACAAUAUUUAUUUAAUAGUAUGAAAUAAUAAAUUGUUUGAAAUACUCAUGUCUCUAGACGAUACACACACCAAGACGAAAAACUUAAAUGACAUCCCAACAAGAUAAUGAUAAAAUAUUAUCAUACUGCUAAGAUAAAAAUUACACAAAAAAACACAAAAGAAAGAUAAUAUAUUACCCUUUUAAUGAACGAAGAAAAAUAGAUGCUUUUUUUCGUAAGGAUGUCAAGUUUUUUUUUUUACAACUCACACAUAUGCAAGAUUCAACACUAUAUAUGCAAAUGCAGAAAACAACAAAUGAAUUUGAAAAUUACAAAAAGUAAUCACAGAAUCAGACGAUUGAUCUUCACCUAUCUUAAUCUUAAUUUGUUCUACCAUUUUAUCAAUUACAUCCAAUUGUUUAAAAGAAUUAAUACUUUUGCAACGUUUAAAACAAUUAUUUAAGAAAAAACAAUGUUGUAUAUUACAGAAUAUUACGCCCACAAAUCGAACAAAACAAACUUUCAUUUCAUUGAUUUCAAAGAUGAAGUAAUGAUUCAAUUUGAAAUGGUUCUUUAGCAUAAUUUAUUGUCUUACUUUUUUUUUUUCUCUAUAGGAGGUCACUCGCGUUCCUGCCAUAAAAAUUUUGAUUCACCAUUUAUGCAAAUAUAUGUACAUAUGGUGGUGGUGUUGAUAUACCAUAAUAUGGAACUUCUGUAGGGGAUGUUCUUGUGAGGUUGAUUGGGAGGUCGACUGCACAUGAGCAUAUGACAACGGUUGCAAAUGGGGAUCACACAUAUAUUGUUCGACAUAUAUAAAUAAUUUAGUAUGUUGUCUAAACCAAUUUAUAUAUUAUGGGUUGUGGCAUAAAACACCUUAUACGAUUUUACCUUGCAAUACAUAAUUCUCACGCUCGUUCCAAUGUUUAAUCUUUUCUCUCCCAACCCAAUUUCAAUUAUCAUCAAUGCCACACCUCAUGGAAUAUUUUCAUGUCCUAUGGUAGUUGUGGUAUUUGUUGAUGGAAACCGAAUUGGAGUGUAACUUUAUCAGGAUGAUGUUUUUCAACAAUAUAAUAACAAUUCAGAGAGGUACAUGCAGUUCAUGUGUCAAUCUCUUCUUCGAAAACUUCGUAUUGGAACUCGAGGUACGGUCUCCAAUAAAACUGAAAUGUAAAAAAAUAAGCUAAAGUAAAUAUAAGAAGUAUAAAAAAACAAUAUAAUUAAAAAAGUGAAAUAAAUGUGAAUGAAUAUAUUACUUCUAAAGUAGCAAUGUCGAUCACCAGAAAUGGGGGUUUGAAUUUUGAUCAUUUUACCAUUUUGAUUCAUGUGUGUGCUUAAUUUAAAUUAACGCAAGAAUGAUAUUGGUUUGAUGAACAAUAAAAGAAGAACGUUCUUCAAUACUAAUAUAACAAUAAAAACUUUACGAUGUGUAUGAUAAAAGUGUUUGAGAUUUUGAAACAUCUCAAUACUUGUUUGAGAUAAAUGAAAGAUAAAAUCAAUAAAUAAUGAUCCACAAAUAUAGUGAAGAGAGUUGGAGUCUGCUUGAAGAGUUUUUUGCUUGUUCUUACUUGAAGAAGUGUCGGUAGAUUUUAAAAUGAAUAUAGUUGUUGGACACACUUCCCAAGUGUUAGAUAUAUUUUAAAACAAUUAAACAUGUGUUUAUAUUGUUGUCUAGAACCUCCUUGACAACCGAAGAAUGUUCUUGCUUUUGGGUUUGAUGGAAAACGUGAAUAAGUGAGUGAGUGAGUGAGCUGUCAAAUGUCAGUUUGAAAAUGUUUCCAUGUCAUAAUUAUGCAGAGUUUUCUGCAUAAUACUGUAAGUACAAUGUACUUGUGUCCUUGCACACAAUUCAUCAAUUUGGAGAUCAAUCUUGAGGUUAUUUUCCUCCUUUUGACAUUCAGCUCGAGUUCUGGGUUUCACCAUUGAUUUGAGCAGUCUUGAUACUCUUUAAAUUGUGGUUUGGACUGUGAAAAAUAAUAUGUUUUAGUUGUUUCUUUAAAAAAGAAUAGCAAAUAGUUCUUUUGCGAAACUAAAACGUUCUUGGUUUUGUGUUGUAUGAAAAACGUGGAUGAGUGAUUUAGUAGUUGUCUAGUGUUAGUAAUUUGUCUCAUAAACAUGAUGUGCUUUCUGCAAAAAGAUGCAACACCAUUUCCCUUGCCCAUGGCUCAUCAAUUUGAAUAUAUAUUUUGAUGUUUUGUUUUGUCUUUGUUGAUCCUCUUUGAACGAAUCUAUCCAAAACGAUCUUGUGUAGAUUAAUAAAUUCUUGUGUAAUAAAUAAUGAUGAUUUGUUGUGUAGAUAGAUGUACUUUCGUAACUCAGAUCGAUCUUAAAUUAUAUAGAGGCAUGUGAUAGUGGUUUUAAUCCAUCUAUAAAUUAAAAUGAAGAUAAUGAUCAAAAUGAGGAUUAACGACCUCAACUCGUUCAAAGAGCUAGACAAGUUCAACGACAUCAUAGAUAUGGAACUGGAUGUCGUUUAAGUGGACAUCAUUAAUUUAAAUCUGAUGUAUUUUUUUCUUCGAUUUAAUAUAUCUUAUUUGAUAUUAUUAAUAUAAUUUGCUAUUUUUAAUUAUAAUUAUUUUUAUUUAUUAGAUCUAGCGAAAAAAUAAAAAGAAAUUGUUAACAAAAUAAAAUUAAGUAAUUAAUUUAUCUAUAAAAUAGGAUAGAGUUGUUAAAAUAAUAUAAAUUUAUACAAAAUAUAAAGGAGUUAUUAAAAUAAUAUAACGUGUUAUUUCUUUUGUCACAUCUACUCAAUUGAAUUUUUACUUCAAUUUAAUGUAUUUUAUUUUAUUAAUAGUAUUAUAUUUUUUAAAUAUUUUAAUUAUUUUUAAUUUAUUAAAUAAACAAUUAUUCAAUUAUUAAAAUCACAAUAAUUUUUUUUUCAAAACUGUGUUCAUUGUCAUAUUCACGAAUGCGGCACCAAAUUUUUUUAGGACAGGGAUGCGAGCUACCUACUAGAAAAAAAAAAGUAAGGCAAUGAAUUAUGCUAAAUAACCCUUUUAAAUUGAAUCAUUACUUGAUCUUUUAAAUCAAUGAAAUGAAACGUGUUCAAUUUAUGGGCGUAAUAUUCUUAAAAAAAUAUUUUAAACGUUGCUAAAGUGUUCAUUUUAAGCCAAAGUAAAUGUUGAUAUGUGGUAUUUGAUGUUAGUUAAGAAAUAUUAAAAACUUGUACACACAAAAAAGUUAAAAACCAAAAUAUAUAAUUUUAUGGGUUGAAACGGAUGUAAUUGAUAAAAUGGUAGAGCAAAUUAAGAGAAAUAUUGGUGAAGAUCAAUCGACUAACUCUGUGAUUACUUUUUGUAAUUUUUAAAUUCAUUUGUUGUUUUCUGUAUUUGCAUAGUGUUGAAUCUUGCAUAUGCGUGAGUUGUAAAAAAAAAUUGACAUCUCUACGAAAAAAUACGUAUUUUUCUUCGUUAAUUAAAAGGGUAAUAUACUUUUUUUUUGUUUUUUUAUCAAAAUAGUAUGAUAUUAUUUUAUCAUUAUCUUAGUGGGAUGUCAUUUUAGUUUUUCGUCUUGGUAUGUGUAUCGUCCAGAGAGAGACACGAGUAUUCCAAACAAUUUAUUAUUUCAUACUAUUAAAUAAAUAUUGUGAAUUUAUUUGCAUUGAAUCCUUUAAAUUGUAUUGUUGUUGAUAGAUAUUCUAUGGAUCUUUAAUGAGUUAACAAUGAUUCCGGUAAAAAUAAAUAAAUGGAGACAAUGAAAAAGGAAAAGGUGAAUAAGAAGAGAAUGAUAAUAAAAAGAAUAAUAAUUUAAUUUAUUGUGGUAACAAAUGAUAAACAAGGGGCAAGGGGAAGAGGACAUGAAUUGAUGAGAAAAAGCAUUGUGUUUUGGUUGAAAUUGAUUCUACCAAUCAUGCUCUCAAAUUUGGAUCCCAUUUUAGCAUUUUGUGAAUUAAUGAGUUUUGGGUGCUGGGACCGGUGACACUGCCGGAGCUGCAACUGGACCAUGCCUCCUUGCGCUGUGCUCAACGUCGUUUGUUACAGCUAGCAUAAUAAAACAUUUUAAUUAUAUUAAAAACGUGAUGUAGUGUUUAAUUAUAAAAAAAUUGAUUAGAAAUAGACAUAGAAAAAAUGAUGAGGGAAACUUACAAUUGUACAUGGGGAAUUGGCAACGGAAACGGCAUACAGGCUCAGAAGCGAAGCGUGGAUAUAAACUUGCGGCAACGCAAUAUUCGAAGCACUCUUCCGGGGUCACUACGGUCUCUCCCGAUUGAAGGGUAGGCUCCGCCUGAAUAGCUACCAGGCACACCACCAACAACAAAGCAACAUAUUUGUUUGCCAUUUUUAGUUUUAAUUUUGAUUUCAAACUUCAAAUGUAAAACACUUUGCUUUCUUAUUGGUAGUUUUAUUUCUUUUCCUCCUUACCCAUUUU
rnacentral:lncRNA from 1 species